GGGGGAAAAAUUAAUAAAAUAUAAAUAAUAAAAAAAUUUUUAUAAUAUAUAUAUAAUGGGGGUUAAAGUAUUAUUAUAGAAAAAAUUGAAAAAUUUAUAGUUAAAUAGUAUUGUAAAAGAAUUUUGAAAUAAAAAUUAAAUAUUAAAUUUUUAUAAAGUAAAUUUAAUUUAUUGUAUCUUGUGUAUCAGAGUUUAUUAAUAAAAUAUUAUAAUUAAAAAUUUCUCGAAUUUUAAAGAGUUAAUUAAUUAAAAAAGUUAAUGUUGAAUAAUUAUUUUUAAUAAUUAAUUGGAAAUGAAAUGUUAAUCGUUUUAAAAAUAUAUCUAGUUUUUUUAGAAAUAAAUUUAAUUUAAAAUAAUAUUUUUUUAAUUUAUUUUAUUAUUAAAAUAUUAAAAUUAUUAUUUAAUAUUUUAAGGGAUAAGCUUUAAAAUAAAAUUUUAUAAUAAAUUAUUAAUUAUAAUUAAAUUUUUAGAAUUUAUAUUGUUAAAUAAAUUAUAAUUUUUUAUAAAUAAUUUAAUUUAUAAAAUAAAAUUUUAUAGAAGAAAUUUAAUUUUUUAUAAAAAAAUAAUUUUUAAUAAUUAAAAAUAAUAUAUAAUGAUAAAAUUAGUAUAUGAAUAAAUUUAAAUAAUAAAUAUUAAAAUUUAAAAAUUUAAAUAAAGGAAUUCGGCAAAAAUUUAUAUUCACUUGUUUAUCAAAAACAUGUCUUUUUGUAAUAAUUUAAAGUUUAAUCUGCCCCCUGAUAUUAUUAAAGGGCUGCAGUAUUUUGACUGUACAAAGGUAGCAUAAUCAUUUGUCUUUUAAUUGGUGACUUGUAUGAAAGAUUGAAUGAAAUAUGAACUGUCUCAAUUUAAUUUAUAAAAUUUAAUUUUUUAGUCAAAAAGCUAAAAUAAAUUUAAAAGACGAGAAGGCCCUAUAGAGUUUUAUAAUUAUUUUAAUUAUAAUAAAAUAUAAAUUUUUUAAUUAAAAUUAAUAUAAUUAUUUUGUUGGGGGGACAAAAAAAUUAAAUUAACUUUUUUUAAAAAAUUUCCAUUAAUUUAUGAUUUUAUGAUCCAUUUUUAGUGAUUAAAAGAAAAAAUUACCUUAGGGAUAACAGCGUAAUUUUUUUUUUUAGAUCAAAUAAAAAAAAAAGUUUGCGACCUCGAUGUUGGAUUAAGAUAAAAUUUAAAUGCAAAAGUUUAAAAUUUUUGAUCUGUUCGAUCAUUAAAAUCUUACAUGAUCUGAGUUCAAACCGGUGUAAGCCAGGUUGGUUUCUAUCUUUAAUUAAAAAUAAUAUUUUAGUACGAAAGGAAUAAAUAUUGAAAAUAAUUUUAUAUAAAAUGAAUUUUAUUAAUUAUGAUUAU
rnacentral:rRNA from 1 species